AUAAACUGUACAAAGUUUGGUCUAUUGGCUCAUAUCCAGAACUGGACUUGUAUAGAGACAAACUGCAUGAUCGUAGGAGCGCCUUUUCUAGAAAUUAAAAGAUGGAUACAGAAAGUGAUACAAAUGCGAUUCGUUUUUCCACGACACACGUGAAGGGGAAGAAGUCGUUGCAGGGAAAUGUGGAAAAACAGGAAAGCGACUUGUCAAAAGUACAAAUUUCCCAGUGGAUUGAUGACAAAAACAAUCAAGGACAACUUAACGAAAACACGGAAACUCUUUGUGACUUUGAAGAAAAAUCGGUAGAAAACAUAACCCACAGAU
rnacentral:lncRNA from 1 species